UCUUAUGGAUGAGCAAAGAAAGUGGAUUCUUGAGACAGAAUAUACCCCUGGUGAAGAUGCCAUGAA
rnacentral:pre_miRNA from 1 species